rnacentral:rRNA from 1 species
GACGAACGCUGGCGGCGUGCUUAACACAUGCAAGUCGAACGGAAAGGCCCUGCUUUUGUGGGGUGCUCGAGUGGCGAACGGGUGAGUAACACGUGAGUAACCUGCCCUUGACUUUGGGAUAACUUCAGGAAACUGGGGCUAAUACCGGAUAGGAGCUCCUGCUGCAUGGUGGGGGUUGGAAAGUUUCGGCGGUUGGGGAUGGCCUCGCGGCUUAUCAGCUUGUUGGUGGGGUAGUGGCUUACCAAGGCUUUGACGGGUAGCCGGCCUGGGAGGGUGACCGGCCACAUUGGGACUGAGAUACGGCCCAGAAUCCAACGGGAGGCAGCAGUGGAGAAUAUUGCACAAUGGGCGGAAGCCUGAUGCAGCAACGCCGCGUGCGGGAUGACGGCCUUCGGGUUGUAAACCACUUUCGCCUGUGACGAAGCGGGAGUGACGGUAAUGGGUAAAGAAGCACCGGCUAACUACGUG